ensembl:lncRNA
CAACCCACUGUCCCAUAAAACUUUUCGCACAAUUCUACUCUCAUCAAAAUGCAUUUUCCUUUUUUCCUUUUUUAUGAAUAUAUUCAUAAAACAACUUUACAGAUAUACAACAAUUCAGUUUACCUGUUCGACUUUUAACCCAUUUUUUUCCACCAUCCCUUCCUAAUGUCAUCUAUUCACAUAAAAGAAAAUACUUCCUUCUUUCUGCUGUACUUUCAUCACAAACUUUACAAAAAUAUUCCAUAUUACCAAUACCCCUUAAAACUCAUAAAUGUUACAUAUUAUUACCACACUCUAUUACUUAGACAACUAUUACCCAAGUUACUUAUGACAUAUCUCUAACCAUAUACUUUAUUUACACUGCCUUCCACCUAUCCAUAUGUUGUCUCUUAAAAAUAUGCCCAAAGCAUAGAUACAACACACCUACAAUUCAUUUUUGCUUUUCUCUAUACCCAUAAAUUUUUUUUUAACUAUUUUCUAUUUUUUUAUACACUACAGCUACUAUUAAGAAUUACUUCUAAUAACCAUUAAAACAUUGCAUGCACAAACAUUUUGCUAACAUCAAAUAACAUUGUUAUAACACAACACUUGCACAGAUACACUAUCCCCACCCUGCCCACAUUCUUCUUAACUCCACCCCUUACUGCUGACACCUACUUUAAAUACAAGGCACCAUUUCUCACCACUCAUACUUCUGAUGCAUCCUAAAGGCAACUAUGGAACAACAAGAACAAACAUUAAUAACAUCAACAAUCAACAAAAGAACUUUCGACAGACCCCAAGGACUACAAGUCUGCUUGCUUACAGACUCAAUGUGCCGAGGUAUUGAGGACUACCUACCAGCUGCAAAAUGCUGGGUACAUCCAGGCACUACUCUUGAGAGAUCUACUAAACAACACAUAUACCACUUUGAGACAAUACGCAGCAAUGCAUUGGUACUACUCCACAUCGGAACAAAUGACAUUGCAAGUGGAGCACCCCCAUCACUGAUCAUCCAACGAAUGAAAGCACUAAUAACUUCAAUCUCUCAAGCAAGUCCUCACAUUCUGUAUUUUGCAAUUAGUGCUGUCUUGCCACGACUUACAGAUGACUCAACAAAAAAAACAACAGUGAAACAAUACAACACCAUGCUACAUCGCUGGACUACUCACACAGACAACAUUAUCUUUCUGAAGACAACAAAACCUUUCCUCAAACAUGGAAAAAUAGUCCACCACCUAUACAAACAAGAUGGCCUCCACCUGAAUCAACAAGGAAAACACAAACUUUUUACGUACUUUCAGCAAUUCCUUUGGCAUUUUUGCCACUUUCAAGCACAAACAAAACAAGUUUAGUAACCCAUUAAAUUAAGUCAUACUUGUUCUCAUUAAUGACCUUUACAUGUUGUCUCUUUCUGAAAUAAUAAAAUGCCAUUCACUUUAUUUGCAACCCUUUGACUUAUUCUUGCAUUACACAUUUCUACACACAUAACACCAGCACAUAAAUUCCUUUUCACUAUCACUUCAUCAAUUCCUUGCAAUUUCCUUUGCCAUUACAUGUCAAACACAUUUUGGGUAUACAAUGAUACUUCACAUACUAAACAUUUCCUGUUAAAACAUACAACCCUACACUACUUUAG